AUACGGAGGAUGCAAGCGUUAUCCGGAUUUAUUGGGUUUAAAGGGUGCGUAGGCGGUUUGCUAAGCGGGAGGUGAAAUGCCGGCGCUCAACGUCGGAAGUGCCUCCCGAACUGGUGGACUGGAAUGACUCUGCCGUGGGAGGAAUGUGUAGUGUAGCGGUGAAAUGCUUGGAGAUUACACAGAACACCGAUUGCGAAGGCAUCUCACGAAGGGUUGAUUGACGCUGAGGCACGAAAGCGUGGGGAUCAAACAGGAUUAGAUACCCUGGUAGUCCACGCAGUAAACGAUGAUGGCUAACCGCUGGGCUUAUCAGUUCAGUGGCCAAGCGAAAGCGAUAAGCCAUCCACCUGGGGAGUACGACCGCAAGGUUGAAACUCAAAGGAAUUGACGGGG
rnacentral:rRNA from 1 species